rnacentral:misc_RNA from 1 species
UUCUAAGUUUGGGAAAUUCUUUUUGCAGCCUUUCUUCUAAGACCUCGAAUCAUGUUAUAAACUCCACUCUUUCCAAUUCCAUCCCAUAAAUCAAUCUCUCAGCCUCAAAUGCAUGGCAAUAAGUCUACAAUAUGGAAAAUUUUCUUCAUUACACAUUUCUGUGCUUAAGCUUUUUUGGUAAGCAUAAAAAGGAAAGAUAUGUAUGUUAGAAAUAUUAAAAUCGGAAACUUGAACUUCUAAAUUGAAUGAUUUUUUGAUAUGUUAUUAGAGUCUCUCAGACCAAAAGAUUAAUCAAGUAGAUAUGUACUUAUUCACAUUACAUAUUGAACAUGUGUUAAAGAUAUAAAGUCUGCAUUUAUAAAUUUAAACUUUUAAAUUAAGUGAUUUCUUAGUUAUUGCCCUUUGCAAACCCCUGCUGCUGAUUCUAUUACAAAUUUGUUUGCUGGAACUGUCUAAUACCAAAUGUGCAUGAAGUAAUUUUUACUGACAGUACUUCAAUACAAAUAAAUCAUAGAAGCUUCAUAUUAAGGAAGAGAACCAUUAGCUAAACACAGCAGAUAAAUGAAAUAUUAUGGGGGAAAAAACUUAUUACAAAAAAUAUAUGGCUGGGAAGAAACUUUACACAAACUAAUUAAUGGAAAAUUUCUCCAUUUCCCUUAUCUUCUAACCCUAUUUCCCCAUUUUAAUUUCCUCUUAACAGUCACACUCUCGUAACUGAUUCAAGACAAUAAAAAAGAAAAAAAGAAAAAAUAGAAAAUAAAAGAACCCUAGAAGUUACACAGAAGUAAAGAAAAGAAAAUAAAAGAACCCUAGAAGUUACACAGAAGUAAAGAAA